GAGGAAUCACAGCCUCAGAGGGAUCUGCUGAAGGAAGCAGUUCCUCUGGCAGCGCCAAAGGUUUGCCGCCCGCAGCGGCCAGCCCACAGGGGUCUGGAGAAGCUGCUCCAGGAGUUCUCUCGCCAAGGGCACGCACUGUCCCAGGUGUGCAGAGAGAAGGCGGUGCUGGCGCAAGAGAACGCUGCCCUGGAAGCCCGACUGGCAGCCACGGAGCGGGACCUACGAGGCGUUUCAGAGCAGCUGGCAGAGGCCAGGUCAGAGAAGGAGAGCCUGCAAAGCAGCCUGCUGGAGGCUCA